GAAAUGCGUACCAGAAUCUUCAUUGGGUUCAGUCUUCACCUGAAUGGAAGAGCAACUAGACAAACAGAGAAUAGACAAUUCUCGCCUGUUCUGCAAAGAGAACCUUUUCACAGAAAAAACCUGCACAAUCUGAGACCUAUACAAACAACAUGAAAGUGUUCCAGCAAUAAAAGAAUGUGACAACUUAUCUACAGUACUGCUGUAGGUGCUAGAUCA